GUGCCAGCAGCCGCGGUAAGACAGAGGGUGCGAACGUUGCUCGGAAUUACUGGGCGUAAAGCGCGUGUAGGCGGACCAUUAAGUCAGGUGUGAAAUCCCUGGGCUCAACCCAGGAACUGCACUUGAAACUGGCGGUCUUGAGUGAUGGAGAGGGAUGCGGAAUUCCCGGUGUAGAGGUGAAAUUCGUAGAUAUCGGGAGGAACACCAGUGGCGAAGGCGGCAUCCUGGACAUUGACUGACGCUGAGACGCGAAAGCGUGGGGAGCAAACAGGAUUAGAUACCCUCGUAGUCC
rnacentral:rRNA from 1 species